GUUAUAUGGUCAAGCGAAUAAGCGCACACGGUGGAUGCCUAGGCGGUCAGAGGCGAUGAAGGACGUGGUAGCCUGCGAAAAGUGUCGGGGAGCUGGCAACAAGCUUUGAUCCGGCAAUAUCCGAAUGGGGAAACCCACUGCUUCGGCAGUAUCCUGCAGUGAAUUCAUAGCUGCUGGAAGCGAACCCGGUGAACUGAAAUAUCUAAGUAACCGGAGGAAAAGAAAUCAACCGAGAUUCCCUAAGUAGUGACGAGCGAACGGGGAGCAGCCCUUAAGCUGGAAUGGCUUUAGAAAAACAAUCUGGAAAGAUUGGCCAUAGAAGGUGAUAGCCCUGUAUUUAAAAGGGCCACUCCAGUGAAGACGAGUAGGGCGGGGCACGUGAAACCCUGUCUGAAUAUGGGGGGACCAUCCUCCAAGGCUAAAUACUCCUGACCGACCGAUAGUGAACCAGUACCGUGAGGGAAAGGUGAAAAGAACCCCGGAGAGGGGAGUGAAAUAGAUCCUGAAACCGUGUGCGUACAAGCAGUAGGAGCUCGCAAG
rnacentral:rRNA from 1 species